UCCGGUUUGUCUCCGGCAGUCUCAUUAGAGUGCCCUUUCGUAGCAACUAAUGACAAGGGUUGCGCUCGUUGCGGGACUUAACCCAACAUCUCACGACACGAGCUGACGACAGCCAUGCACCACCUGUGACGGUCCAGCCGAACUGACACUGUGUUUCCACAGCUACGACCGCCAUGUCAAGCCCAGGUAAGGUUCUUCGCGUUGCGUCGAAUUAAACCACAUGCUCCGCUGCUUGUGCGGGCCCCCGUCAAUUCCUUUGAGUUUCAGCCUUGCGGCCGUACUCCCCAGGCGGGGUACUUACUGCGUUAGCGACGGCACCGAAGGGGUCGCUCCCCCCGACGCCUAGUACCCAUCGUUUACGGCGUGGACUAC
rnacentral:misc_RNA from 1 species